GAUGAACGCUAGCGAUAGGCUUAACACAUGCAAGUCGAGGGGCAGCACGAUUUUAGCUUGCUAAGAUUGGUGGCGACCGGCGCACGGGUGCGUAACGCGUAUGCAACUUACCUUAUAGAGGGGGAUAGCCCGUUUAACGACGGAUUAAUACCGCAUAUACAAGUGGUUUGGCAUCAAACAACUUGGAGAUGAAUUUCGCUAUAAGAUAGGCAUGCGUCCCAUUAGCUUGUUGGUAAGGUAACGGCUUACCAAGGCAACGAUGGGUAGGGGAACUGAGAGGUUGAUCCCCCACACUGGUACUGAGACACGGACCAGACUCCUACGGGAGGCAGCAGUGAGGAAUAUUGGUCAAUGGACGCAAGUCUGAACCAGCCAAAUCGCGUGAAGGAUGACUGUCUUAUGGAUUGUAAACUUCUUUUAUACGGGAAUAAUCACAGAUACGUGUAUUUGUUUGAAUGUACCGUACGAAUAAGCAUCGGCUAACUCCGUGCCAGCAGCCGCGGUAAUACGGAGGAUGCGAGCGUUAUCCGGAUUUAUUGGGUUUAAAGGGUGCGUAGGUGGUCUGAUAAGUCAGCGGUGAAAUUUCUGAGCUCAACUCAGACACUGCCGUUGAAACUGUUAGACUUGAGUGUAGAUGAGGUAGGCGGAAUGCGUGGUGUAGCGGUGAAAUGCAUAGAUAUCACGCAGAACUCCGAUUGCGAAGGCAGCUUACUAAGGUACAACUGACACUGAAGCACGAAAGCGUGGUAUCAAACAG
rnacentral:rRNA from 1 species